AAAUACACAAUUAAACACAAGCAUUAUACAACGUAAAUGGAUAUACAUGAGUGAGGGGCCAACCUAUAGGGAGGACACUUUCUCUGGUUAGCAAAGAAGCAAAAAUCCUCACUUUUUGAUAUCUUCUUUUUCACACUUUUUGCUCAUGACUUUCUCUUUAUUCUUCUUCUUUUUCUUGUUCUUUGCUGCAAUGUCUUGUUGAUGGAAUGAAUAUCUAGGGUUUAGUUGUUGUUGUUCUUCAGUGUGAAGAGCAAUAAUUUUUAGGGGCUGAAUUUGUGAAUUAUGGAUGAAAAAAGUGAAUAAAACAUAAAAAAGAGAAAAACACUAAAAGUGAAAGAAAAAAGAAAAAAAAGGAGAAAAAAUUCUAAAAGUGGGGAAGUGAGAUUUAAACUCAAGACCUCUCCUUUGUAACUCCUUUCCCAUGCUCUUCUACCAAUUGUGUCAUUUUUUUUAUUCUAAAUAAAGUGACACUAAAAAAUAUAUGAAGUGUGAGCAAAAUUUUGGGUAUGACAAUGGUAAUCGCACCAGUACUGGUAGACGUUCAUAAAUACUCGUGUUAUCGAGUGUAGUUGGGAAAGGGAAAUCUUUAUGCCCCUCAAAAUCCC
rnacentral:lncRNA from 1 species